GAUGAAGAACGUAGCGAAAUGCGAUAAGUAAUGUGAAUUGCAGAAUUCAGUGAAUCAUCGAAUCUUUGAACGCACCUUGCGCCCUUUGGCCAUUCCGAAGGGCAUGCCUGUUUGAGUAUCAUGAACACCUCAACUCUUUAUGGUUUUCCAUGAUGAGCUUGGACUUUGGGGGUUUUGCUGGCCUAUGGUCGGCUCCUCUAAAAUAAAUCAGCUUACCGGUGUUUGGUGGGUAUCAUGGGUGUGAUAACUAUCUACGCUUGUGGUUUUUCCACCAGGUAACCUUCGACAGCGGAGGUUCACUGGAGCUCAUAGAUGUCUCUCCUCAGCGAGGACAGCCCUUUGAAUGUUUGAUCUCAAAUCAGGUAGGACUACCCGCUGAACUUAAGCAUAUCAAUAGCGGAGGA
rnacentral:misc_RNA from 1 species